AAUAAAUCUAUUUCUAUUUUAUUAUAUAUUAUUUUAUAUUCUAGAUCCUGGUCCUGGCUGAAAUUUAGAGUAUUGCAGCUGUAGCCUGUAUACCAUACAUUCAACAUGAAAGGGACUGUCAGGAUGCUGCAUAAAAUGGUCUUAGCUAGAGCCAGGAAUGUUAAUUUCUUGGGAAUAUGCUGCAAGGAACUGACGGAGAGCAGUUUUUCUUACAAAUCAUAGAAGCAGUAAGAGACAGCCAAAGACGUACUCGAACACUUGAAAUACCCAGAAAGAUCUAGAAGAAAAGAUUGGAACAGAUUUAAGCUUAAUUGUUCAAACUAUUAAAGUUAAUUUUAGCUGCACUUGAGCUGUAUUUUUGAAAUAAAAUAUCUGAAGUAUUUAAUAUUGUCUUGAUAUUUUGUUAAACUUGGUUACUUUGCUUUAUAUCCAAAAAUUAAAGUAUGGUGGGUUUUCAACGUUGAAAUGACAUUGAAACUUCAAUGUUGUGCCAACGUUGAAGCUGCAACGUUGAAUCAACGUUGAAAUUUCAACGUUGUUUCAACUUUCAAAUCCGAAUAUAAAUCCAACCUUAUUUCAACGUUGAAA